AAUUUCACCACGUUAGAUAAACUGAUGACUUUUCGCAUCCUCAUUGGAAGACAUGAAGAUGUGACAAACAAUAAACGCCUUUUUCUUUUCUCCUCAUCUUCAUCUUCAUCAUUUUCUUCAUCAUUUAUCGUUUGUUAAAUUUGGCGCUUUUCGUUUUUCUCAUUAACAUUCAAUCAACUCAUUCUCUUUGUCUCUUAAUUGUUUAUUUGUCUUCUCAUUGUUAAUUCUUGUAUAAAGUUAAUUGUCACAUACAUUUAAUUAUAUAGAUUUUCUUUCUCGUUUUUCCAGGCUAAUUCAUUAAUAGAAUCUCAUUGUUUUUAUUUUAUUUCUGUGUAAUUAGUUAAAAUCUGUUUACUUGGGUUUACCCUUUUUACCACAAGAAAACAUCUAAUUGUUGCUAUUUGUUUAUUGAGCCUUUUCUAUGUUUUCUAAUACCUUUAUGUAGUUAACUUUUAUUUUCUUGCUUAAUUUAGUAAAUUAAAUUACUACAAGAUAUGUGUCAUGUUUAUCUCCUAUCAUCCCAUCCUUGAUCUUCCUCUUUUCUGUUUUUGGCUUAUCUUUACCUUCAUCUCAGGCCUAAGCUUUUUCCCUCUUUUUUUGUCUCUUAUGCGUAUUUACAUUACCUUGUAAUACUUUUCUAAUCAUCUUUCUAUAAUAUUUUUAUUUCAGAUUGUCAACUCUUUCUUUUCCCAAUACAAUGUACUAUAUUACUCUGGUUCCAUGUCCCCCCUGUGAGUUUUGGUGCAUUUGGUGUAUAAAUAUAAUUUUAUCUUACUCAAUGCCCCAAUGGACGAUUGAAUGGAAAACUACGAUCUGAAAAAUCAGCUCUGAUGCCGAUAUGAGCUCCAUCAAUCAAUCACCUGACUGACAAUCCAUGACAAUUCCAGGACAAUAGGAAUUGCUAAGAUUUUCAUUUCAUCGAUCCAGAACCAUCAUCAAUUGACGGACUCCAAGUAUAUUGAAGAUUGAAAUCAUUUAACCAAUCCAUGCCUGUGAUUAUUUCACCUAACAUAACGAUCUACAAACCUAUUCUUGGAAAUGGUUUAACAGACAUUAGCUUACAUCCUUACAAUUGAAUUUCAAUUUGCAAUCAAAUUGCUUGUUGAUUGUUGUGACGGAAAACAAAGUCAACAGUUGUACUCACAGAAUUCAAACUAUUCUGAAAUUUAAAGAAUCUUGAUCACAUUAAAUCCACUUUUUGGUGAUAAAUUGUUUGGAGUUUAUCCAUUAAAAAAAACGUUAAUUGAUUUCAUUAAUUACUUUGGAUGCGAGAGUUAAAUACCAAUAAGUUACUGACCCAUUAAGAUUUGGAUGCUCUCUCUCUCCCUUUUCUGAUUGAUUAUCAUUACUUUAAUCAUCGCCUACACUAAGUCAUGAUACACUUUUAGAUGAUCAAUAAUCAUUUGAUGAUAAAAAUGAAUUAACUCAAUUAGCAAACAAUUCAACUUGACGAUAAUAUUCAUUAACUAAUCUCGCUGAUAACUGAGGAAAAUGUUAUAACAAAAUGCCGAAGAUAUAAUAACAAUGUUAUCAAUACAAAUGACCAACGAUGACCUGAUGAAACAAUGGACCAGCAAAGGAAAAUUAAAUCCAACGAAAGGAUAAACUUGUUAUUUGAUUAAUCGAGAUGACAAAGAUGAUUAGAUUGUCGUAACAACUUAUCAUUCAUUAUUGUUAUCAUCAUUGGUACACGUCAAUGUCACUCUUGAGUCUCUAUCAUCAUAAUCAUGAGCAAUAACAAAACAAGAACAAGAAAGAAAAAUGUAGAAGCAAAUCCUAGGAUAAUCCAGUUGAGCUUAAGCCGAUAAACGGAAUUAGUUGACGAGAAACAAUCAACUUCAAAGAAGAUGAAAAAAAAACUGAAAGAAAUUAUCAUCCAUAAGCGUUUAUCAACAAUCAACGAAACUUCAAUUCCUCCUCCAUUGUGUAUAUUUAAAGGUUGACGGUUUGAUUGGCAAAAGAUUGUUUUUCCGAGUGUAAUGUUGUGACAAUACAAAACAUCCUCAUCCUCCUUUUCAUCAUACCUUCUCCUCUUACAUCUCUCUCUCUCUCUCUCUCUCUCCCUCCCUCUUUCUGUCUCAUCAUGUCUCUUGUUCGUGCUGUGAAAUUCAUUGUACUUUAUGACGGAAAUUACCUGGUUACUUUAUCCUCGCACACACACAGACAGAGUUUUGUUGAACGUUUAAGAUAACAUGAGUUUUAAGCUUCUUAAGCCACUAGGAAGUAAAGAAGAAAAAGACAAGAGUAGAUGAUAAUGAUGAAGAUGAUGAUAAACAGACAGAUUAAAACACUUCUAAAAACUAGGGAUUAGAUUGACAACUCUACAGUAAUAAGGUACAGUUAGUGGAAGAAAAAAAAAGAUUGUGGUGUAGUGUUAAUUUAGUGAAACCUAAUAAUCAAGUUUACCUUAUAAUCCGUUUUCUUUUCUAAGAGUUUACUUGUCAUUCAAAGUGUUUUAUCUUGAGACGCCUACUGAUGUCUUAUCCUCUCUCUCUCUCUCUCUCUCUCUCUCUCUCUCUCUCUCUCUCUCUCUCUCUCUCUCUCUCUCUCUCUCUCUCUCUCCUUUGUAAGUUUGACACUAGACAGAAAAGACAAUCCGAAAAAGACAAGAGUUAUCAGUUCCACAGGAGAGAUUGUUACAAGAGAUUUGUGAUUCUCUUGAUUCAAGGAUGAGGAUGGAUUAGAAGUGAAUUUGAAACAAGAAUCAAGAUAAAGACACCAAUCUAAGUUACAAAGAAAAUCCAUCAUGUUUUCAUCUUACCUUUUCCAUGUUUGAGAGAAGAAGAAAAUGUCAACAAUACACAAAAUAAUUAAGGUUAAUUAAGUUUAGAUUCAUUAUGAUUCUUUCAUGAUAUUGUUCAUUUCAUGUUCACCUAUGUUAUUAUCAUUGUUGUUGUUGUUGUUGAUUCCAUCAUGAUGAUAAUCGUUACUUUAAUUUAUUCUUGUUUCUUCCUGAUAAUUGACCUUGACUACUUUUCAUGAUUAGAUUGAUUUUGUUUUACUUUCUCUUGAUCGUUUUUGUAAAUAUUGAUGCUAAUCAUCAUCAUUAAGUUAUUUUCAAUUAUGAUUGAUUAUCCAAACAUAAUUUCUUGUGAUUAGUUAUCUUCCUUUAAUCAUCAACUAUUAUAAUUCAGAUUUACUCUCAUUCUCUCUAUACACCAGUUCGAAAUCUUGUAAUCUAAAUGAUGGAUCGAUUUAAUUGUUCCAAUGAUUUAACAUGAUUAGGAUAACUUUCUCUCUCUCUCUCACUCACUCUCAUAAAUUAUUCUCUAUGAUGGAUUAUUGUUCUAAUUCUAAUUUAGUUGAUGUUUAUUAUUGUUGUCUAAUUUGUCCCACUCAGAUUUUUCCUUUCAUCUCCUAAUCCGUCUUUCCUUAAUCCAAUGAUUAGUAAAUUAUGGCUUAAAAUUGAUUCAAUUUUUGGAUUGUAUUACAAUUUGAAUUGAAUUACCAUUUGAUAAUCUAUUUUAUUUAUAACAGUUAAAUGUCGUUGGGUAAAAAUGUUUCACAAUGAACAUGACAAGAAUGAUGAAUGAUGUUUACACAUGAAGAUGAAAAUUUGAUGCUAAUGAUGACGAAAAGAUGAUGAUAAACAAAGUGUUAAAUACCUUUAAGAAUCAUAAAGAGGGAUGAGAGAGAAAUCGUGAAAAAAAGUGUCGCUUAAAUGAGUCGAUCAUUUAAAAAGAUAACAGGUAAUAAUUGUAAAAGAAAAAGAAAUUGAUGAUGUUGUGAUGAUGGCGAAAUGUUGACCACAUCCAUCUUAAUUUCUCUCUCUCUUUCUCUUUUGACCAGUUCUCUUGUUUUCUUCUCUUGUCAAACUAACUUAUCAUCUUUUUCUCUUCAUCAUCAUCAUCUUAACUUCUAUACACAUUGAACAACAAUGAUGUUCACACCAGGAAAGUGAUAGAUUCAUUGUUUUUUCCAGGCAUAAGAGAAUCUCCAUCUCCAUCCUCAUCUUUAUCAUCAUCUUGAUCAUCUUCUUCUUUUAUAUUCAAUUGGAUGCAAAUGAUCAACACCAUUCGAAACGUUUUUCUCCUUCUUUGUUGAUGAUCAGCACUCACAUUCUGAUUGUGUUAAUUGUGUUGAUUUGGUUUGCUGAUAUUUUGUAACUUAAUUGUUGUUGUAAAUCAUUUUGGAAAGUGUUUAAUGUGCUAAGCUGAUUAUUUGAUUUGUUUUCGUUGAUUGAUUCUUAUUAGAUAAUAAUAAUAAGGUGAUUUAGAAUUGACAAUAUUAAUGAUACAUUAUAAUGAAUUGUUAAGUUAAUGAUAUAUUGAAAUCAAUUGAUUUUCAUCAUUAGCUAACAAUCAAUCAAAUGUAUUUAGUUUUUUUGCCGCUGCUUUGGUAUAAAAGUUAAUCACAAAAUUGAAUAUCAUUCAAUUUAUUCAAUUUAUGAAAUCUAUUAAUUCAAUUGUAAUUUCUGUUAAUCUAAUGAUAAUAAUAAUAUAAGAUUGUGUUUCUAAAAUAAUUAAGGGAAAUUAAAGUUAAUCAGCUUUUAACAAUGAUUAUUAUCAUUACGAUUUUGAUUUAAUAAUAGUUAAUUAAAUUUCAUUUUAAAAUCUGAUUGAUUUGAGGGGGGAAAAUGAAUCAAAUUAAAUUUCAACUACUGAUUAACCAGGGAAAUUAAGAUGAAAAUUGAAAAGAUGAUUAUAAUCAUCAUCAUCAUUGAAGAUUAAUCCUUAAUCAUCAAUUGUCAAGAUUAUCACUUUCCAAGAGAUUAACUAUUUUUUUUUCAAUCAAAACGAUAUCAACAAGGAUUAAUGUCAAUCAUAAUUGUUACCUGGCAGUUAAAUCAUUUAAUUAAUAAUCAAUUGUUUGCCAAUGAUAAUCAUCAACUAAAUUGUUCAAUAUUUUAAAUCGUACGAUUUUUUUUUCAAGGCUUAUUAAUUGUUAAUCUAAUUUGUGUCGUUAAAUUGAUUUGUUAUUUGUUGAUUUAAUUAACUUGUUAAGACAAGGAUUUACCAAGUUAAUUGAAUUAAUAGUUACAAUUAAAAGCAUUUUUCAAGGUAAUUAAAUUGUUACGGAUUGAGAAGCAAAAGUAACAAGUUUAAUUGUGAACCGAACGAUUAAACGAAUGAUUAAUUUAUACAAAUUAAUUUAAAUUGUUAAUUGUUUUUCUGGUGUAACUGAUUACCUGGUGAAUUGAAGGUUAACUGAAUUAAGGGUUUUGUUUCAGGUGAAGUUGAUAAAUAUUUAUGGAGAGAUGAAGAUGAAGAUUAGGAUGAGGAUGAAGAUGAGGAUAAAAAUGAAGUGGAAGAUGAUUAGGAUGAUGAUGAUGAUGAAAAAAUCAGCGGGAAGUUGUCAAAAAACGUGUUAACGUGUCAAUAUGAUGAAAGGAAAUAAGGUUGAGCAUUUAACAUGUUUAAUUGUUGUUUAUUUUAUCAAUCAACUUGUGCAAUUAAAGCUGUUGAUUGUUGAUUAGAACCGCAAUCAAAUAAUAACAAAGGUAAAUUAUCACAGGUAAAAGUUAACUUUACUUAGGACAAAAUUUAACCUUCUCAUCACUUGUAGUAAUUAGUUAAAUACAGAAUAAUAAUAAUAUUAAUAGAAAUACAAAUUGAUUGAAAUUCAAUUUUUUUACGUUAAUUUUGAUUCAUUAAUUUUUUCAAUUUUCAUUCAUCAUUUUGACAAGAAAAUUUUUCCAUUUUUUUUUAUCGCUCAGAAAAUAAAAACAUGAUAAAUGUAAUUAACAUGAUGAUAUAAUGAUAGUUAACUGAAUAAUAAUCAAACUGUCAACAUAAUUGUGUUGAAAUUACAAUUAAAGUUUGAUAGGUAAGUAAACAAAAGGUAAGUACUUUUUAACACCUUAGCACCUUUAAAAUGUUCAGGUAACCAAAUGAAAGAUGAAGGCGUUGGAUGAUGAAAAUAAUAAU